GGUCGCAUAGCUCAGUUGGUAGAGCACCACCUUGACAUGGUGGUGGUCGUAGGUUCAAGUCCUAUUGUGGCCA
rnacentral:tRNA from 1 species